rnacentral:tRNA from 1 species
ACUCUAUCCAUAUUACGGUUUUGAAAGCCUGAAAAAACAUUCAUUUGUUUAUAGAAUA